UGGGGAAUUUUGGACAAUGGGCGAAAGCCUGAUCCAGCCAUGCCGCGUGAGUGAAGAAGGCCUUCGGGUUGUAAAGCUCUUUUAGUCGGAAAGAAAGAGUUGCAAUGAAUAAUUGUGAUUUAUGACGGUACCGACAGAAAAAGCACCGGCUAACUACGUGCCAGCAGCCGCGGUAAUACGUAGGGUGCGAGCGUUAAUCGGAAUUACUGGGCGUAAAGGGUGCGCAGGCGGUCUUGCAAGUCAGAUGUGAAAGCCCCGGGCUUAACCUGGGAAAUGCGUUUGAAACUACAAGAAUAGAGUGCAGCAGAGGGGAGUGGAAUUCCAUGUGUAGCAGUGAAAUGUGUAGAGAUGUGGAAGAACACCGAUGGCGAAGGCAGCUCCCUGGGUUGACACUGACGCUCACGCACGAAAGCGUGGGGAGCAAACA
rnacentral:rRNA from 1 species